rnacentral:rRNA from 1 species
GACGAACGCUGGCGGCGUGCUUAACACAUGCAAGUCGAACGGAAAGGCCCUGCUUUUGUGGGGUGCUCGAGUGGCGAACGGGUGAGUAACACGUGAGUAACCUGCCCUUGACUUUGGGAUAACUUCAGGAAACUGGGGCUAAUACCGGAUAGGAGCUCCUGCUGCAUGGUGGGGGUUGGAAAGUUUCGGCGGUUUGGGAUGGACUCGCGGCUUAUCAGCUUGUUGGUGGGGUAGUGGCUUACCAAGGCUUUGACGGGUAGCCGGCCUGAGAGGGUGACCGGCCACAUUGGGACUGAGAUACGGCCCAGACUCCUACGGGAGGCAGCAGUGGGGAAUAUUGAACAAUGGGCGGAAGCCUGAUGCAGCAACGCCGCGUGCGGGAUGACGGCCUUCGGGUUGUAAACCGCUUUCGCCUGUGACGAAGCGUGAGUGACGGUAAUGGGUAAAGAAGCACCGGCUAACUACGUG